UUGAGCAGAAACCAUAAGGAUACUCAAAGGACCUGUGACUCUCAGGAAAUGGUGAGAUUUCAGGUCAUAAUCUUUUUUUUUUCCCAUUAAAUUAAUUUUCCUUUUCCCCUUUACAAUAUUGCUGUUUUGUUUUUGUAAACGGCAUCAAAUGAGAGGGACCGAUGAAACAGUUUCAAGACAAUGGCAGGAAAAACAUGCUGAAGAUUGAAACAAACCUUGGCUGGAAAUAUUUGAAGGUAUCUAGCCAGUCCACAAUGAAAGCUUCGUUGCACCCCAUGAGUCUUCUGGCAGAAAUGAUGGCGGCUGUAUUCUUUAGUUUCCCUAAACAUCACACCCUGCCUGUUUAUACGAGGCUCUUCAAUUAAGUCUGCACCCAAAGAUUCAAUGAGAGAGGGGAUCCUGCCACUCCAAAGUGAACUCCUGAUGGACAUUGAAGUACUCCUGCAGAGCUUGUAUCUUCAACACCAUGCGCAUUAGAAACUCCACCGAGUCCUUUCCUUCACCAAGGCAGGACCCAGUGACUCAUUACUGUUGAUAGGUCAGGGGCAGGUAAUAUUUUGUUUCAUGUUUAUUCAUUCCUCCAUGGAUUACCAGCCAUAUAUAUGGACACAUGCUGUAUUCUCAAGAUCUAUGCUGUUUUGUAGGAAUAGAGAAAAUGAUAUGUUUAGUCUGUUUUCAAAUGGUAUGUCAAAUUUUCUCAUUGUUUAUCAGUAAUAUUCUCUACCUUGGUUGUAUAUGAGCAUCUUUAGAUUUUUCUAUAUUUAGCGGUUGCAAAUGUAAAAUGUACGGUAAACCAUUUAUGUUCCUCAUAUUGUACUGUAUUUUUAGCGGUAAAAUACCGGCAGCUGUGGUUGCCAGGAAUUUACCGUAAAAUGUAUCUGGUCAAAAUAAAAUGCUGUAAUUUGUUAUACAAUUUCACUGUGUUUUUUACUGUCAAAGGUUUUAAUAAGGUUUAACAUAUUUCUGUUAUUUUUACAGUUAUUUACAAUAAUAGGGUCU